AGAAAAUUCUCCCCCAUAAACCCACUAACUAGAUAGGUCCUCACUGCAUCCACCACCAUUCACUACCCCCAUUGUCGGUUGUGACAGAGGCCUUUGUCUGCAAAAACUGCACUAGGGGUUCCUAACUCUACACGAGGAUGAGGAUAUGCUCUUCUACUUUCUCUAUAGUCAUGGAUACUAUGGCCAAUCUUCUUGCAAUGCCCACAUCUUCCUAGGCUAUCUUCAUAAAUAAUGACUUGAGUGAACCAGAAUCGCUCACCUGUUUCAGGCUGUCUUCACUCCAUUUGUAUCUCUUCAAUCCUUCUGCUACCCACCUCUGACUCGACCAUAACCCUGGCAUAGCUGCCCAUGGAUGUUGCACGGGUUCUAUGAUCAAGUGCCAUUGGCCUACUAGUAGCUUUAGCCAUUGUGAGUAGAACCUUCUCGUGCCAGUAAUCGAGGGGAAGGUCUAGGAAGAGAAUUCAGACCAUCCUCAUAAUAGGUUGUUUUUCGUUUAAAUUGAAAUCCCUGUUCCACCUUUGGAAUCUUAUCAUAUGAGUUCCCACUCUGACCGAGUUUUGCUUCCAUAUCAUCACCAUGUCAGACUCUAGUUUGAAUUGUAAGAGAAAAAAGUCUUUACCCAUCGGAGCCAAGGCAGAUCUGCUCUUCAAAGACAAGGAUUCUUUUGCUUCCCUUCGAAUAUCAUUCAUAGAAACGUAUUUAAAAUUUUUUUCUCCCAAUGAGAGCAAACUUAAAUUUUUCAAGGCACUCUUCAUAAGCCUCUUGCGGACGAUGACUAUGGUUAGAGAUCCUACCUAGAUAGGAUCAGGCAAGUCAUCAAUAACAGGGAGCGCUCCUCCCACAAUAGUAGAAUACGUUGCUUUCUCUUUAGGAUCGUGUGAAGCCGUAGCAGAAGGGAGGACAGCGGCAGCCUCUGCUCCCGCAGGCUGCCUCUCCUUUGGUUUCCAAAGUCGGUGAGGAGAGAUUGUCUUCCAUGAUCAGGAGGAUGACCUCCAUGCCCAUUGCCCAGAUCCCUAGCUCUCACAUUAGCCAUCAUGUCUUGUCCUCCAAAUAUUAGUUGGAAAUUUGUCUGAAGAGAAUAUUAUAUUGCCUCCACAAAAAAAAUUCCCUAGGACUACUAUAACUCGUAUGAUAUAUACCAUGAAAAAUAUGAAGGUGAACCUCAAUAAGAAACAUAUGAUGUAGCCCAAUUGCAUCUAAGCUCAACAACUAAGAGCCCGUUUGGUAUCGUUCCAAAAAAAGUUUCUACCAUUUUUUUCGUUCUAUUGGAAUGGAAAAACUAAAAAAACUGUUUGGCAACCUUAUGAUGUGUUUCAAUUUUUUUGAAACAAAAAUUGGGAAAAAAACGAUUUGGAGGCCAAAAGACUGAACGACAAAUUGUCGUUCUGUCCGUUAAGUUUCGUUCCAAACUUGUAAAAAGAGGAACGAUUUUGAACCCUUGUUCCCGAUAAAAUCACUCACCCUCUUUCUCCUCACCCUUUCACCUUUGUGCACACAGAACUGGAGAAGAACGAUCACUAGAGAAGAAGCACGAUCAACCUUCACUCCUCGACACAGUAGGGAGAACUCUGCUGCUCAUCUCUGCUGGUCUCUGCUCGUCGAUCACGUCUGGAAGUCUCAGAUCUCAUCUGUGAAGUAUCAGAUCUCUACUCGUUUUCGCUCAAACAGUCAAGUAUACAUGACAAGAGAAAUCAAGACUGAGGAAAUUGUUGCUCUGAAAAAGAUUCGAAUGGACAGUGAAAGAGAAGGGGUAUGCUCUAUGUUCUUUACUAUGUUGAUUGUGCAUGUAUAAAUACAUAUUGGUCUCUAAGAAUGCAUUUGACAAUUUUUCUUUUUUUUGUAAUUCCUUUUUUUUUCUUGCUAAAGGUCAGCAAAAGUAUAUUGAUAAUCAUCAAAUGUGUAGUUACAAAUGCCCUUCAAGCCUUUGUUCCACCUUCGGCAUGACCAUCAAUAGAAAAGAGACUCAAAGCAAGGAAGACAAAGUAAAUUACAUAAAUCGAAAUCUAGACCUAUGUUGAAAGUCCCAAUCAAGCUCAUAAGUUAUAAAAGAUGGAGAAGCAUCCCAAAUCUUUGAAGUACGAGUAGUAGUAGCAUGCUUGGCUAGCUUGUCCGUUAUAGUAUUUAUUUCCCGAUAACAAUGAGAUAUAGUCCAAGUUAUAUUGUCAAAAUAACCUUUGUAGUACCACCAUCUUUGUAAAAAGCACCAUGGAAUAUUCUGUCUUUUGAUGCAAGAAACAACAGCCUGACAUUCUAUUCACAAAUUCCUAAUUUCCUUCAAAGAUGCUUAGUGUAUUCCAUGGAAGAAAGCAGAAAAUUCAGCCAUGAAGUUAGUUCCAAUUCCCUCAUAGAUUGCAUAACAACCCAUCUAAGAAGAUGCACUGUGAAGAAUACCACCUGCGCCUGAGCUGCUUGGACUCCCUAUAAAGCAUCCAUCUAUAUUUAGUUUCCAGACACCCCUUGGAGGUGCCUCCCAAUUUAAUUCCAAGAUGUGAUUUGAAGUUGUUCUUGUGGUACUAUGAAUAUCAAGCUUCUUUGAAAUGAGGAGAUCAGCCAUUGACUUGAUAUGCAUAGGAACAAGGAAGGAGAGAUCCUUAAUGUCUUUCAUAAUAUAAUGCACCAUAUAGCUUGUCGGCAAACUCUGAUUAUCAAACCUUCUUCUGUUUUGUAAUUCCCUAUAAAUGCUAUACAUGAAAUUAAAAUCAUAAAGAAGUUGCAGCAUGAAAAUGUAGUUAAGCUGAAGGAGAUUGUCAACUCCCAAGGUCACAAAAGGGAUGAACAAGGGAACCCAGGUUAGUUCUUUGAUGUAAAUAUAUAUUUUUUUAACCUAUUCGCAUAAUUAUAUACUGUUUUGUUGUUGGUAAGAUAUGUUCAAGAUGGUUCUGCAUGUGGUAUGUUCAGCAACACAAAGAGAGUUUAAUCGGAGAAUUUUUAAUGAUAGACAGAAAUUCAGAUUACAUCAGUUCAAAAACCUAUUUUUUUAUUUUAGACACCAUGUCUGAUUUUGGGCGUGACAUAAACAUCCGGAAGGUGGAACUCUGAGGCAACAGGUUGUUGUUAGUUUCCUAUUUAUCCAUCGAUAUAUUAUUGGUCUUCUUAUGUGGUGCACUGUUCUCCAUAUUCAGCAUAGCAGCCAAUUAAUCUUGAAGUUAUUGUUCUGUACUGUCCUUAGUUAACAGCCUUCAUCUUCAUCCAAGGAAAAGCAGGUUGAAAGAUUAUCAAUAUCUAGUUAACAAUGAUCGCAUACUAACUACUGAUGUAGAGAGAGAAAAAAAUUUUAGUUGAGGAAAGACCUCAAAGUAAGAGCAUUCAAGACUUACCAUGUCAUACCAAGCCAGGUAAUAUUGAUGAUUUAUGACUUUGUUCAUCUUUCUUGCACUCUAUACAAAAUUCCCUUGAAAAACAGUCUUCUUUCUUAUUGGCAUCUGUUUGUGCUAAUUUCCCAUCAUUAAUUUGUGUUAAUGUUAUGUUGUCUACACUGUGAGAUAUAAACUUAAGCACGAGUAUAUUGGCCUUUUUGGGAAUGAGAUCAAGAGCUUGAAGUUAUUAGGUGUGGAGGUCUAUCUUUGCCUUCAUACCAUCAGAAACAUCUAAUUAUUUUGUACUUUUAUGGUUUUUGUUUUACAUGCCUUCCCCUUUGAGGAACUUGGGUGAGGUAAUGGAAUCAAGUAGAUAUUUGCAGAUUAUAUAUAUAUUUUCACCUUUUCUGAGAUUGCUUUCAUAGGAGACACCAUGUCUGAUUUCAUAGCUAAACCCCGACAAUGUUGAUGCUUUGAAGGCAAGGUGCUAUUGCUUCUUCACAUUGCUCUCCUUUUCUCUUCCUUGUUGAUAAAGAAUUUUUUCUUUCAUCUGUGCAGAGCAACUUUGUUGACAAUGCAAUGAUGUUGGAAAGUGCGAGAUUAUGGAUGCACUCACUUGUCUGAGAUCAAUUCUUUGAAGCUAAUCACAAGACCCAUUAUGUUGUUUAGCAGUGAGGACCUGGGAUAUGUGCUUUGGCCUUCUAACUAAUUGCUUCUCCUUCUUGCAGAUAGUUAAUUAUGCUUAUAAGUUCAAGAACAAAGCAGUUCUUCUAAUACAUUUCUCAGCUAGCUAUCGGGCCGAUAUUCUCCUGAUCUUCAUGGGAGUAUCUGUCUUUUUGCUCCGCUGCCUUGGAGAUAUCUUCUAUAUAGGAG